rnacentral:rRNA from 1 species
AUCCAGCUCCAAUAGCGUAUAUUAAAGUUGUUGCAGUUAAAAAGCUCGUAGUUGAAUUUCGGGAUCAAUAUUUCGGUCAUGCCGUUGGUAUGCACUGUUAUCAUUGAUUUCUCACCUUCUAAAGAACCGUAAUGCCAUUAAUUUGGUGUUACGGGGAAUUAGGACUGUUACCUUGAAAAAAUUAGAGUGUUUAAAGCAGGCUCACGCUUGAAUACAUUAGCAUGGAAUAAUGAAAUAGGACAUCCGAUUCUAUUUUGUUGGUUUCUAGGAUCGAUGUAAUGAUUAAUAGGGAUAGUUGGGGGCAUUAGUAUUCAAUUGUCAGAGGUGAAAUUCUUGGAUUUAUUGAAGACUAACUACUGCGAAAGCAUUUGCCAAGGAUGUUUUCAUUAAUCAAGAACGAAAGUUAGGGGAUCGAAGACGAUCAGAUACCGUCGUAGUCUUAACCAUAAACUAUGCCGACUAGGGAUCGGAUGAUGUU